rnacentral:misc_RNA from 1 species
CAUCUCCAUUGUCUUUUGUUGCACGCGUCCACACACAUAUACAUACAUGCACGUAUAUUUCUAUACAGAUGUGAGCUCUGUCCCUCCAUUGUACUCUCCGUGUGUGCGCGUAUGCGUACGUGAUUGAGUGGGAUACGGAAAGCGAAGCGAUCGGAGCACCGGCAGCUUCACGCACACCCACGCACCCACCCACACGCCAGCAUACAUCUAAUGCAUCCCAAGGCAAACGCAAGUAUAGGCAUGUAAAGCGAAAAGAGAGGACCACUGCGAUUGCCUCCCUUCCCUGCUGUGACACUGACACACACCGGUACAGCGGCUCACUCCCUUACUCCUUAGUCUUUAGCGUCCAACAACGCAGCAAGAUCCGCGGCGGCAGAUACAUCUCCAACCAAGCAGGAAAGAGGUGGUCCACAACAGCAGCGUUGUCUACCCCGUGCAGAAAGAGAAGCACGACCAGAUGUGGUGUCAUUUAACCAUCCAGCAAGCGGUAACGAAGCAGCAACACAACAACAGCGAGUAGUAGAGGCAGCAGUGAACUCCUAACUGCCGCCUCGUCGUUUCUCUUUCGAGCUACUUGUUUUCCUGUGACUGCUGUUGCUGUUAUCGGGCAGCCCAUCACUGAUGUCGUCGCUCAGCUGCAUCCACACCCACACGCUCACACAGUGUGUGUGUGUGUGCGUGUGUUAGAUGCCGCCCUUUGACUAUGAAGGGAUGCAGUGGCUGGACGGCCCUUCUCCCUGUUCGUCUGUCUUCCGCCUUUUGAUUGGAUGAUAUGUAUACACACAUAUAUAUGUAUAUGCAUACAUAUGUAUACGUGGUUUCUCUAAUAGCUCGAAGGGGAGCACGAAAGAGGUGAUGCUCACCUGUCUGUCUUCCACCGUAAGCAACGAAUUGUCCACAUUGAAAGUCAGCGUGUACGCUGUGAACGACUUUCGCACGCGUACAUGUAUGCGUGCGUGUGUGCGGGUACGAGGAGUCGCGCGAUAUCGUGGAGUGAGGCGUGGGGAACGCUGUGAGUCACCACAAGGCUCGCUCCCGCCCCUCCCUCUUCUGUUCGCCUUCCUUGUCGCUGCCUUGCCGCUGUGCUUGACGCAUCGCUUGCGCGAGUCCUGCCUGCUCCCCAUUCCGUCACUUUCUCCCUUGCUUCCACAUUUUGUCGCCCUGCCUGGCGCGCUUCGCUCUCCAGCUCCCUUGACCAUGCACACUGACUUUUCUACUCCUUCCUCUCCCCUCUUCUGCUCUUUCACGCGGGGUCGAAUGCACAUCUGCUCGAUGCACCGGUGCUGCAAAAUGCAUCACACACACAUGCACACCUACUCGGGUGGUGGUGGUUGCCUGCACAUGUGCAUGUAAUGUGGCUCUGUAUCUCCACGUUUACGCGACAG